rnacentral:rRNA from 1 species
UGGGGAAUUUUGCGCAAUGGGGGAAACCCUGACGCAGCAACGCCGCGUGAGUGAUGAAGGCCUUCGGGUCGUAAAGCUCUGUCAGAGGGAAAGAAGUGUAGGGCGGCUAAUACCCGUUUUACUUGACGGUACCCUCAAAGGAAGCACCGGCUAACUCCGUGCCAGCAGCCGCGGUAAUACGGAGGGUGCGAGCGUUGUUCGGAAUUAUUGGGCGUAAAGCGCGUGUAGGCGGUCUUUUAAGUCUGAUGUGAAAGCCCCGGGCUCAACCUGGGAAGUGCAUUGGAAACUGGGAGACUUGAAUACGGGAGAGGGUAGUGGAAUUCCUGGUGUAGGAGUGAAAUCCGUAGAUAUCAGGAGGAACACCGGUGGCGAAGGCGGCUGCCUGGACCGAUAUUGACGCUGAGACGCGAAAGCGUGGGGAGCAAACAGG